rnacentral:lncRNA from 1 species
AGGAUAUUUAGGGAUGCCUGUGUACUGUAUUCAAGUCCACAGGACUCCCCAAAUCGAGCAUCGGAAGCAGGCCCGUGAACACCUGUCUCAACAUCCAGGCUAAGCUGUGCUUCCCUAGGCCUGAGAGAGUUACUCAGCCAGACUGACUGUGAGCUGGGCAGCAUGGACCAGUGUUCCUGCACUGCAUGUACACUAGGCCCCAAUGCAAGCCUGGAGACCUCCAGCCCUGGAGCUCUGCAGCACAAGUGUGGCCAGCACUGCAAGGCGGGUAGCCCAGAGCACUGAGCUCUGUUCUUCAGAGAAUACAAAGCCAUACCCCAGGAUGGACAAAGGGCAGUUCAGACGGAAAAGUCCGUUUUUCAAAAACGCUAGGACCGCAGACUCGUGUCCAGUAUCCUCUCUCUCGACCCUGCAGGUUUGUGACAGCUUUGUGAGUUGAGAGGGGUCAGCAAGAUCUUCCCUGUCCAUCUUCCAGGACAGUAAAGUGCAGAGGAUAGCGUGACAGAGCAAGGGAGCUGGUAUUGUAUGCUGUGGAGAAGGACAGGGACAUGCUGAAGACCUGACAGAAUUGUGAUGGACUCAUGCCAGGGGCCCAUGACACCAUUUCCCCUAUCAAGGAAACAGCAUUCUGUCUGCCCAAGGAAAAUCUCAGUCAACGAUAAAACACUGCAACACCCUC